rnacentral:rRNA from 1 species
GAUGAACGCUGGCGGCGUGCCUAAUACAUGCAAGUCGAGCGAACGGACGAGAAGCUUGCUUCUCUGAUGUUAGCGGCGGACGGGUGAGUAACACGUGGAUAACCUACCUAUAAGACUGGGAUAACUUCGGGAAACCGGAGCUAAUACCGGAUAAUAUUUUGAACCGCAUGGUUCAAAAGUGAAAGACGGUCUUGCUGUCACUUAUAGAUGGAUCCGCGCUGCAUUAGCUAGUUGGUAAGGUAACGGCUUACCAAGGCAACGAUGCGUAGCCGACCUGAGAGGGUGAUCGGCCACACUGGAACUGAGACACGGUCCAGACUCCUACGGGAGGCAGCAGUAGGGAAUCUUCCGCAAUGGGCGAAAGCCUGACGGAGCAACGCCGCGUGAGUGAUGAAGGUCUUCGGAUCGUAAAACUCUGUUAUUAGGGAAGAACAGAUGUGUAAGUAACUGUGCACGUCUUGACGGUACCUAAUCAGAAAGCCACGGCUAACUACGUG